rnacentral:rRNA from 1 species
AUUGAACGCUGGCGGCAGGCCUAACACAUGCAAGUCGAACGAGUGGCGGACGGGUGAGUAAUGUCUGGGAACCUGCCCGAUGGAGGGGGAUAACUACUGGAAAAGGUAGCUAAUACCGCAUAACAUCGGCUGUGCCAAGAUGGGAUUAGCUUGUAGGUGAGGGAACGGCUCAACUAGGCGACGAUCCAUAGCUUGUCUGAGAGGAUGACCAGCGACACUGGAAGUGAGACACGGUCCAGACUCCUCCGGGAGGGAGCAGUUGGGAAUAUGGCACAAUGUGCGCAAGCCUGAUGCAGCCAUGCCGCGGGGAUGAAGAAGGCCUUCGUGUUGUAAAGUACUUUCAUUGGGGAGGCGUUACCUGCAGAAGAAGCACCGGCUAACUCCGUGCCAGCAGCCGCGGUAAUGC